GGCAAGCCGAAGUUGGGCGCUUGCAGGUUGACACUAGGCUGUUCAUUUUAUACAGUUGCCAGAGCUGGUCACUGGUCGGCUCAAUAAAAGUUCAAAUUGCGCGCUCCAUCUCAAGCUCAAUGUCCUCGAAUAAUUAAGUAUUCCUACCAGUCUUCUUUUACACCUGGUUCCCUGUUCGUAUCUUCAUGUUGCACCGGGACAACUGCAGUCGACGCUCCUUGACGUAUUCUAUUAAUUGCCUAUUCAUUGCGUCACAACCACGUCACCUGAGAAGCCGACCAUAGAGCCAUCAAAUUGACCAGGCUCGCAAGCGAUAUAGAUUAUACCUCCAACUGAACUGCUAUGCUGGUACUAGAGUGGCAGUUUUAAGUGUUUUUAACGAAACUUUUAAACUUAAACCUUAUGGAACAUCCUAUACUUUUUUUCGGAUGAGCUUUGGGCUGUGCUGCCAAAAUUUCCUGUUUAUUCGUUCGUUGAAUAAAAAUUUCAAAUUC